UAUUAAAAACAAUUAUAUUUCAAGUUGUAAAGUGCAAUACAAAGUGCAAUACUUUUGUUCGGAUAUGCUGAUACCGACGUCAGGAGCAUCAGAGGCUCAGCUGGGCUCAGUGUCAGGCUCACCGGGCAAAAGCGCCAUGAACGGACACGCGAUGACGUCACCGGGUUCAUCAGGCGACAGCAGCGACCCUGGUGCCGGAUCUGUGAAACUAUUCGUGGGGCAGAUUCCGCGCCACCUGGAAGAGGAGCAUCUGCGACCCAUGUUCGAGGAGUUUGGCCACAUCUAUGAGUUCACCGUGCUCAAGGACAAGUUCACAGGCAUGCAUAAAGCAAUUCUUAGAAAAAGUUCAACGGCCUUCCUGACCAAGUGCUUUAUUAGCGAGUGCCUGUGCGUGUGUGUUUGUGAUAGUAGAUCUGCUAUUAGUGUAGUAGUAUUACUUAUUCAAAAGAAAGCAUAUAAAAAUAGUAAUAUUUUUGAAAUAGAAGUAAUAAGAAGCUGGGCGCUAGUUUCAAAUAGAAGAGUACCUGGUCUUAAGGAAUUCAGAAGUAGUGCAGUUCUGUGAUACACGCGGGGAUAUAGAUUAGCAGUAGGAACUGUGAUGUAGGCUUCGCUUCCGUAUAGCACAACGGAUGAAAGCGUCAUCAUUGGGACUAAUGAAUCCUACAGUUGUGGAAACGCUCAGCAUUCCGGAAGGGCAAGGUAGAAAGUAAGAGAGGUCCUAGAAGAAGAAGAAUAUCGUGGCUUAGGAACCUGAGGACAUGGUAUGGAAUGAGCACAGCACAGCUGUUCAGGGCGGCAGUCAACAGGGUCAUCAUAGGUUGCCAACAUCUGGAACGGAUAGGAACUAAAAGAAGAAGAAGACGUCUAAAUAAUUUAAAAUUUCAAGCAUGUGUCUAUGUAGACAUUUCAGCUUUCACUCAUCUCCAACAGUUAGUUAUUAUAAUAUGAGAUUCUCUUGAAUGGAGAAAAUAAUAACUUUAACUAGGAUUGACUAAUAAUAACUGUAAUAAAGAACGAAGUAUUAAUUUACAAACUAUAUGUGAAUCACAAAUUUCAUAAUGAUUGUUGGUUGAAUUGAUAUUGUUCUUUGCUACCCAAUAAACUUAGGAUCUGGUAAUACUAAAAAACACUGUACUUGAUACUCAUAUCGACAAUUCACUAGUGGAAUAAACAAUGCAAGUAAAUAUUGACAUACCAAUCAAGCUCUUGUUUCAAGUGGUUGAUGAACAUAUGCUUAUCAAUCAGAGAAUUCUCAAUAUAAUACCUCAUGUUCUAUAUUUAUGAUAAACAUGAGAAUAAUAUUCACAAAAAAGAGCUUCUCCUCGAAGGAUGAAGACAUAUUAAUGAUAUUACAUAUA